CAUAAUGGUAAGUUAAAGCAGAUAAUAAGCCGGGCCUCUAAUUUUUUCACCAAAUCUCCAAACCACUCGUUGACUCUGCAUCUGGACAAGCUAGUUAACCUCAAUCUAAACAAUUGCAAAAGCUUGAGAAUUCUUCCAGCUGGAAUAUUUCGUUUGGAAUUUCUUAAAGAACUUGAUCUUUGGGGUUGCUCAAAACUAAAAACGCUUCCAGAGAUCUCAUCAGCUGGUAAUAUAGAAGUGAUGUAUUUAAAUGGAACUGCAAUUGAAGAAUUGCCUUCAUCCAUAGAAUGUCUAUCUGGGCUUUCGGCCUUAUACCUUGAUCAUUGUAAAAGGCUGAAGAGUCUCCCAAGCAGCCUAUGUAAGUUGAAAUCUCUGAAUUCUAUUUAUCUCAGGUAGUGCUCAAGUCUUAAGAGUUUGCCCGAUGAACUUGGAAAUUUAGAAGCUUUGAACAGUUUGAAUGCUGAAGGAACUGCUAUAAGAGAAGUGCCGUUGUCCAUUGUUUGUUUGAACAAUUUUGAUGGCUUGCAAAAUCUAACGUCUUUAUAUCUAACUGAUUGCGGCAUCACGGAGUUACCUGAAAAUCUCGGUCAGUUAUCCUUAUUACUUGAAUUGUAUCUAGAGAAAAACAAUUUUGAGAGAAUACCAGAGAGCAUCAUACAUCUUUCUAAGUUGGCAUAUCUUAAAUUGAGUUAUUGUGAGAGGCUUCAAUCCUUACCAAAGCUUCCAUGCAAUCUAAGUGAGUUAGAUGCACAUCAUUGCACAGCACUGGAAUCAUCUCCAGGUUUAGUAUUCCCAAGUCGUGAUCCUCAGUAUUUUGAGCUAAGAAAUAAUUUGAAAUUGGAUCGCAACGAGAUCAGGGAAAUUCUCGAAGAUGCUCAGCAAGAAAUUCAGGUUAUGGCAAUAGCACGUUGGAAACAAUUACAGGAAAAGGUAUGUUGUGUCUUUUAUGAUCCUUUUAAUCUAUACAAUGUUAUUGAGUAAUGAUCUAGUGGGCGAUAGUGCUCAUCUUAUGGAGAGCGAGAGUGGCACAUCGCAUUGCUUAAUUAAUCCACAGCCUUAACGCUAUUCACUGGGAGUUGUAGAAUUCUGCCACAUAUCCAAAUGCUCAUCCAUAUGGUGGGCACUAGCGCUCACUAGAUCAUCGUUCCAAUGCUAUUUUGUUAAUUUUUUAUUUAAAAUUAAAUUUAACAACAUUUCUUCAAAAUUAUGAUCUUUGGUACAGGGAGAUUUUUUCCAAAGUUCAGGUCGAGUAUUAUUACCUGGGAAUGAAAUUCCAAAGUGGUUUAGCUUUCAAAGUUUGGGAUCUUCUUCUAUAACCUUGAAGAUGCCACCUGUAGGUUGGUUCAGUAAUAACAAAGUGAUUGGCUUUGCUUACAGCGCUGUUGUAGGAUUUCGAGACCAUCAUGUCAAAGAGAAGAGGUGGUUUAACUUGUUCUGUGAAUUCAUGAAAGCCAAACCUGAAGAUUGUACUGAGCUACUGGUCAGACGGAGUUCUCUAAGGGGAUUUAAUUAUGUAGAGUCAGAUCACUUACUUUUGGGGUACUAUUUCUUUGGUGAGCAUGAUUUUAGUGCUUUCCAGAAACACAACUGCGAUCAUGUGGCAGUCAAGUUCUAUUUAGAGGAUGAUCAUAAUCAACGUGAACGUUUGGAUUGUUGCCCGGUGAAAAAAUGUGGGAUUCAUUUAUUGUACGCCCCUGAUUCUACGGAACCCACAGAAGAUCCAAGGAGUACUCUCGGUUGAAGUAUUCUUUAAGGCAUCAUAGUAGCUGCUACUUUUCAGUAAAUUAAUAAAUCUUAUAUUCAUAAACCUUGUUUUGCUAGCUUGGUUUCUUUUCCUUCUAUCUGUUUUUAUUACUUUUCUUUAAUUCUUUUCUUCCCAUAUAUAAAUAAUUGGCUUCAAAUAUUCAUAGGGAGAUACUUGUUUUCCUUGAAUUGCCUCGUUGCAGUAUUGAACAACUUUCGGAGAGCGUCCAGGUGUGCAAUGUCAAUAAUAUUUAAUUAUCAUACACGCUACUGAUCUGCAUGUAAUGGCUUCUUUUUUGGUGAAAGCAGAAUAAUUCAUUGGUAACGCUUGAUUAAUCUCUGGUUAUAGUACUCAAUAGAUUUAGUGAGACAUUUCGUCAAACAGGUAGGUUGUAAAAAUUAUAUAGCCUAUGGUAAAAAAUUUGAAUUAGGAUAUAGAGAUACAAAGACAGGAAAAUUCUUUUGUAAUAAUUGUAAAGAUAAACAACAUGAAGACAAUACAAUAGAAAUUAGUGAACUAAUAAAUACAACCUAACCCGCACUCAUAAAAAUUAUAAAUUAUUAAACUCACCCAUAAUCGGCAGUGGGUUUUUUAUUUUUUUUAAAAAGUCCAUCUAUUGCUGGUUUUAGGGGUGGUAAAAAUACAUGUCUGAUCUAAACUCUGGCGAUGUGGACCGGAUAAUGCUAAGCUUGGGUAUGAAGCCAAACUUGUCUUGGGCAUCACUUUAUAAACUCAAGACUCGACCCAAAACUUAAAUUUUAUUAAAAAAGUCCAAAUCUCCAAACCACUCGUUGACCCUGCAUCUGGACAAGCUAGUUAACCUCAAUCUAAACAAUUGCAAAAGCUUGAGAAUUCUUCCAGCUGGAAUAUUUCGUUUGGAAUUUCUUAAAGAACUUGAUCUUUGGGGUUGCUCAAAACUAAAAACGCUUCCAGAGAUCUCAUCAGCUGGUAAUAUAGAAGUGAUGUAUUUAAAUGGAACUGCAAUUGAAGAAUUGCCUUCAUCCAUAGAAUGUCUAUCUGGGCUUUCGGCCUUAUACCUUGAUCAUUGUAAAAGGCUGAAGAGUCUCCCAAGCAGCCUAUGUAAAUUGAACUCUCUGAACUUUAUUUAUCUCAGGUGGUGCUCAAGUCUUAGGAGUUUGCCUGAUGAACUUGGAAAUUUAGAAGCUUUGGACAGUUUGAUUGCUGAAGGAACUGCUAUAAGAGAAGUGCCGUUGUCCAUUGUUUGUUUGAACAAUUUUGAUGGCUUGCAAAAUCUAACGUCUUUAUAUCUAACUGAUUGCGGCAUCACGGAGUUACCUGAAAAUCUCGGUCAGUUAUCCUUAUUACUUGAAUUGUAUCUAGAGAAAAACAAUUUUGAGAGAAUACCAGAGAGCAUCAUACAUCUUUCUAAGUUGGCAUAUCUUAAAUUGAGUUAUUGUGAGAGGCUUCAAUCCUUACCAAAGCUUCCAUGCAAUCUAAGUGAGUUAGAUGCACAUCAUUGCACAGCACUGGAAUCAUCUCCAGGUUUAGUAUUCCCAAGUCGUGAUCCUCAGUAUUUUGAGCUAAGAAAUAAUUUGAAAUUGGAUCGCAACGAGAUCAGGGAAAUUCUCGAAGAUGCUCAGCAAGAAAUUCAGGUUAUGGCAAUAGCACGUUGGAAACAAUUACAGGAAAAGGUAUGUUGUGUCUUUUAUGAUCCUUUUAAUCUAUACAAUGUUAUUGAGUAAUGAUCUAGUGGGCGAUAGUGCUCAUCUUAUGGAGAGCGAGAGUGGCACAUCGCAUUGCUUAAUUAAUCCACAGCCUUAACGCUAUUCACUGGGAGUUGUAGAAUUCUGCCACAUAUCCAAAUGCUCAUCCAUAUGGUGGGCACUAGCGCUCACUAGAUCAUCGUUCCAAUGCUAUUUUGUUAAUUUUUUAUUUAAAAUUAAAUUUAACAACAUUUCUUCAAAAUUAUGAUCUUUGGUACAGGGAGAUUUUUUCCAAAGUUCAGGUCGAGUAUUAUUACCUGGGAAUGAAAUUCCAAAGUGGUUUAGCUUUCAAAGUUUGGGAUCUUCUUCUAUAACCUUGAAGAUGCCACCUGUAGGUUGGUUCAGUAAUAACAAAGUGAUUGGCUUUGCUUACAGCGCUGUUGUAGGAUUUCGAGACCAUCAUGUCAAAGAGAAGAGGUGGUUUAACUUGUUCUGUGAAUUCAUGAAAGCCAAACCUGAAGAUUGUACUGAGCUACUGGUCAGACGGAGUUCUCUAAGGGGAUUUAAUUAUGUAGAGUCAGAUCACUUACUUUUGGGGUACUAUUUCUUUGGUGAGCAUGAUUUUAGUGCUUUCCAGAAACACAACUGCGAUCAUGUGGCAGUCAAGUUCUAUUUAGAGGAUGAUCAUAAUCAACGUGAACGUUUGGAUUGUUGCCCGGUGAAAAAAUGUGGGAUUCAUUUAUUGUACGCCCCUGAUUCUACGGAACCCACAGAAGAUCCAAGGAGUACUCUCGGUUGAAGUAUUCUUUAAGGCAUCAUAGUAGCUGCUACUUUUCAGUAAAUUAAUAAAUCUUAUAUUCAUAAACCUUGUUUUGCUAGCUUGGUUUCUUUUCCUUCUAUCUGUUUUUAUUACUUUUCUUUAAUUCUUUUCUUCCCAUAUAUAAAUAAUUGGCUUCAAAUAUUCAUAGGGAGAUACUUGUUUUCCUUGAAUUGCCUCGUUGCAGUAUUGAACAACUUUCGGAGAGCGUCCAGGUGUGCAAUGUCAAUAAUAUUUAAUUAUCAUACACGCUACUGAUCUGCAUGUAAUGGCUUCUUUUUUGGUGAAAGCAGAAUAAUUCAUUGGUAACGCUUGAUUAAUCUCUGGUUAUAGUACUCAAUAGAUUUAGUGAGACAUUUCGUCAAACAGGUAGGUUGUAAAAAUUAUAUAGCCUAUGGUAAAAAAUUUGAAUUAGGAUAUAGAGAUACAAAGACAGGAAAAUUCUUUUGUAAUAAUUGUAAAGAUAAACAACAUGAAGACAAUACAAUAGAAAUUAGUGAACUAAUAAAUACAACCUAACCCGCACUCAUAAAAAUUAUAAAUUAUUAAACUCACCCAUAAUCGGCAGUGGGUUUUUUAUUUUUUUUAAAAAGUCCAUCUAUUGCUGGUUUUAGGGGUGGUAAAAAUACAUGUCUGAUCUAAACUCUGGCGAUGUGGACCGGAUAAUGCUAAGCUUGGGUAUGAAGCCAAACUUGUCUUGGGCAUCACUUUAUAAACUCAAGACUCGACCCAAAACUUAAAUUUUAUUAAAAAAGUAUUAUAAAAUGUAUAUUAUUUUUAAUAUUUAUAUUUAUUUGACUGAUCUAUUACAUAUAGAUAAAAUUUUAAAUAUUUGAAGUUUAAAUUUUCAUGUUCGAUUUCAUUGAAAUAAAUUUAAAAAUUAUAAAAUUAUAAAAAAUUAUAAAAAUACAUAUAUAAUAAUAAAAAAAUACAAAAUACUGGGCACAAAAACCUGGAUUAAAAAACUUGGACUGGGUGUUUAAAAAUUACAUCAGGGCCAGGUCCAAGCAUUUCGAUACUUAGACCCGAACCUGAGAUUUAACAAUUAACAAACUAACCUAUAGCACCGAGUAAAUUUUUUUUAUAAGUUUUCUCAUUUAAAAUCAUAAAUAUAAAAAAAAAAUACUUUUAAUAAUACAUAAAAAAUUAAAUUAAGUGAUUCAAAUAUAAAUUUAUAACCCCUACAAAAUUCGUGUACAAAAUUCAAUUCUAAAUUUUACCAAUGAAAAUAAGAAAUUAAAAUUCCAACAUUAAAAAAAAAACAAAAUAUACUAAAUCUGACUUACAAAAUAAAAAAGAAAAACAAUAAAUAGCUGAUAGUAAUCUACUUUACAAAUUAUUAUCAUAUCCCAAAUCAAUUUUCUAAUCAUCAAAAUCUCUAAUCAAUUGAAUUGUUUCUGUUGUUAUGGCUUCUUCUUCUUCUUCUCGUCCAUCCAGCAGUUUGAGUUCGAUGAAUAAUCCUCGAAACAAUAAGUAUGAUGUUUUCCUGAGUUUCAGAGAAGAGGAAACCAGUGAUAGCUUUACUAGCCAUCUUUAUUCAGCCUUGUGUGAAACGAGUAUCGAAACUUUCAUUGAUGACCAACUCGUCAGAGGAAAUGAAAUCUCACAGUUUCUUCUUGAUGCAAUUGAAGCAUCAAGCAUAUCAGUUAUCGUAUUCUCUGAAGGGUAUGCUUCUUCCAGAUGGUGCCUCGAUGAACUUCUAAAGAUCCUCGAUUGCAGGAAAGAGUAUGCACAGAUUGUGAUACCAGUUUUCUAUCGGGUCGAUCCAUCACAUGUGAGAAAGCAAAUUGGGAGUUUUGGGGUUUCAAUUUCGGAGCUUGAAAAAAGAUUUCCAGACAAGAAACAAAGUUGGGGGAGUGCUUUAACUGAAGCAGCCAAUCUCUCUGGCUUUGAUUCUCAUGUCUUCAGGUAGCAGUCAAUUUAUUACCAAUUUUAUAAUUAUUUUUAUUUACUCAAGUUCUAGUAUUAUAUGAAUAAUUUUAAAAGCAAAAAAACUGUCUCAAAUCCGAACUAAUUAAAAACUCUCCUUUUUGUCUCUUUUUGAACUUAAUACUAUGUUUCUUGUAUUUGCUAGGAAUGAAUCUGAACUUAUAAAGACAGUUGUUGAUGAGAUUUUGGAGAGCCUGCCUAAAGUGGUUCCAUUUGAUAACAAAAAUCAGCUAGUUGGAGUAGAAUCAAGAGUUGAGGAAAUUGAAUCUCUAUUAGCUGCUGCACCUAUAUUAGGGAUUUGGGGCAUCGGUGGUGUAGGCAAGACAACAAUUUCUAGGGUGAUUUUCAACAAAAUCUCCAGAAAUUUUGAAGGUUCCUGCUUCCUUCAAAAUGUAAGAGAAGAAUCGCAGAGCCCUGGUGGAUUAGCUAGGUUGCAGCAAAAACUUUUUAAAGAAGUAUUGAAGGAUGUAAGCGUGAUUCCUGAUAUUGACUUCAACUUUAGAAGGCUCAGCCGCAGGAAGGUUCUGAUUGUUCUCGAUGAUGUGACUAGUUUCAGACAAAUAAAAUCCUUAAUCAGAGUUUCUGAUUGGUUUCUGCCUGAAAGUCGUCUCAUACUGACCACAAGAGAUCAACAAGUCCUUAAAAAUUGGGUUGUGAAAGAGAGAGACAUUUAUGAGAUGAAAGAAUUAGAACACGAUCAUGCCCUUGAGCUUUUUAGUCGACAUGCCUUCAAACAAAACUGCCCUCCUGAAGUAGGUUAUAAGGAAUUGUCAGAGAUUGUAAUAAAUUAUGCUCAAGGUGUUCCUUUAGCACUGGAAAUUUUGGGUUGCUAUCUAUUUGGAAGGGAAAAGGAAGUUUGGGAAAGCGCAAUAAACAAAUUGAAAAGAAUUCCUAAUUUGGAGAUACAAAAUGUGCUAAAAGUAAGUUUCGAUGAUCUGGAUGAUGAAGAGAAAGAUAUUUUUCUAGACAUUGUUUGUUUCUUUAAAGGGAAAGAUAAAGACUUCAUUAUAAAAUUUCUUAAUGCUUGUGGCUUUGAUGCACAAAUAGGAAUAAGUGAUCUUGUCAAUAAGUCUCUUAUUGUCAUACACGACAACAAAAUAACAAUGCAUGAUCUGUUACAAGAAAUGGGUAGGGAAAUUGUCAGGCAAGAAUCUGUGAAAAAUCCAGGAGAACGCAGUCGGCUGUGGCACCAUGAGGAUAUUAUUGAAGUUUUGACCUUUAAUACGGUAAGCAUUUUGUUUGAGACUUUAUAUUAUUUGUGAAUGCUAUUGGAUUUGUAAACUUUACUUAUAAUUAUGUAUAAGUACAUGGGACAUAAGAUCAAUAGAAGAACUGGCAAUAAUAAAAAGGAAAAAAAAAUAUUGCAAUGUCAAUUUACAACUAAAAGUCUGGCAAACAGACAGAGAUACGUUACAAUGUCAAUUUACAUCUAAAAGUAUGGCAAAUUAACAAACAUAGAUACUUUAUAUGUUUAGUAUUGUUUGUAUUACUAUGUUUCUUUCGUACAUAGGCAUGUCCAUACUUCAUGGAUACUUUAUAUGCUUAGUAUUGUUUGUAUUACAAUGUUUCUUUUGUACGUUGGCUUUCAAUUAACUUGAACAUUAAUUUAAAUUUGAAUUUAACUUCCUGGUCUUUCAUUGAUUGUUAGGGGACCAAAAAAGUUGAGGGUAUCUGCUUUGAUAUGUCUAGAAUAAAAGAGAUCUAUCUGCAUCCAGAUACUUUCACAAAGAUGUGUAAAUUGAGAUUUUUGAAAUUCUAUAACUCUAAAGAUGAUGGAGAGAACAAAUGUAAGGUGUCUUAUUUGGUAGGACCUGGAUUUGCUGAAGUGAGGUAUCUUCACUGGUAUGGAUAUCCACUAAAAUCAUUGCCGUCAAAUAUUCAUCCAGAGAAACUUGUUUCAAUUGAAAUGCCUCAUGGUAAUAUUCAACAACUUUGGGAUGAUGUCGAGGUAUAUAAAAUCUUAAUAUUUAUGCAAUGUUUCAGUAAUAAUGUUUAAUUAUUUAUCGUACUUAAAUGCUAACAAUUUGUAUGUCUGGGCUUCUAAUUUUUUUGGAGCAGCAUAAUGGUAAGUUAAAGCAGAUAAUAAGCCGGGCCUGCAAUUUUUUCACCAAAUCUCCAAACCACUCGUUGACCCUGCAUCUGGACAAGCUAGUUAACCUCAAUCUAAACAAUUGCAAAAGCUUGAGAAUUCUUCCAGCUGGAAUAUUUCGUUUGGAAUUUCUUAAAGAACUUGAUCUUUGGGGCUGCUCAAAACUAAAAACGCUUCCAGAGAUAUCAUCAGCUGGUAAUAUAGAAGUGAUGUAUUUAAAUGGAACUGCAAUUGAAGAACUGCCUUCAUCCAUAGAAUGUCUAUCUCGGCUUUCGGCCUUAUACCUUGAUAAUUGUAAAAGGCUGAAGAGUCUCCCAAGCAGCCUAUGUAAAUUGAACUCUCUGAACUUUAUUUAUCUCAGGUGGUGCUCAAGUCUUAGGAGUUUGCCUGAUGAACUUGGAAAUUUAGAAGCUUUGGACAGUUUGAUUGCUGAAGGAACUGCUAUAAGAGAAGUGCCGUUGUCCAUUGUUGAGAUCAAUAGAAGAACUGGCAAUAAUAAAAAGGAAAAAAAAAUAUUGCAAUGUCAAUUUACAACUAAAAGUCUGGCAAACAGACAGAGAUACGUUACAAUGUCAAUUUACAUCUAAAAGUAUGGCAAAUUAACAAACAUAGAUACUUUAUAUGUUUAGUAUUGUUUGUAUUACUAUGUUUCUUUCGUACAUAGGCAUGUCCAUACUUCAUGGAUACUUUAUAUGCUUAGUAUUGUUUGUAUUACAAUGUUUCUUUUGUACGUUGGCUUUCAAUUAACUUGAACAUUAAUUUAAAUUUGAAUUUAACUUCCUGGUCUUUCAUUGAUUGUUAGGGGACCAAAAAAGUUGAGGGUAUCUGCUUUGAUAUGUCUAGAAUAAAAGAGAUCUAUCUGCAUCCAGAUACUUUCACAAAGAUGUGUAAAUUGAGAUUUUUGAAAUUCUAUAACUCUAAAGAUGAUGGAGAGAACAAAUGUAAGGUGUCUUAUUUGGUAGGACCUGGAUUUGCUGAAGUGAGGUAUCUUCACUGGUAUGGAUAUCCACUAAAAUCAUUGCCGUCAAAUAUUCAUCCAGAGAAACUUGUUUCAAUUGAAAUGCCUCAUGGUAAUAUUCAACAACUUUGGGAUGAUGUCGAGGUAUAUAAAAUCUUAAUAUUUAUGCAAUGUUUCAGUAAUAAUGUUUAAUUAUUUAUCGUACUUAAAUGCUAACAAUUUGUAUGUCUGGGCUUCUAAUUUUUUUGGAGCAGCAUAAUGGUAAGUUAAAGCAGAUAAUAAGCCGGGCCUGCAAUUUUUUCACCAAAUCUCCAAACCACUCGUUGACCCUGCAUCUGGACAAGCUAGUUAACCUCAAUCUAAACAAUUGCAAAAGCUUGAGAAUUCUUCCAGCUGGAAUAUUUCGUUUGGAAUUUCUUAAAGAACUUGAUCUUUGGGGCUGCUCAAAACUAAAAACGCUUCCAGAGAUAUCAUCAGCUGGUAAUAUAGAAGUGAUGUAUUUAAAUGGAACUGCAAUUGAAGAACUGCCUUCAUCCAUAGAAUGUCUAUCUCGGCUUUCGGCCUUAUACCUUGAUAAUUGUAAAAGGCUGAAGAGUCUCCCAAGCAGCCUAUGUAAAUUGAACUCUCUGAACUUUAUUUAUCUCAGGUGGUGCUCAAGUCUUAGGAGUUUGCCUGAUGAACUUGGAAAUUUAGAAGCUUUGGACAGUUUGAUUGCUGA
rnacentral:lncRNA from 1 species